rnacentral:lncRNA from 1 species
GGAUAUCGAUUUCUUCUUAACAAACGGAUCAGUAGCUGUAAUCAAAGUCGCCACAGCAUUGUUGGGGAAAAUGUUGUCAGCCUUCAUCCUCUCUUUGAACCCAUAAGCAGGGGCCUUUGCAUGUAGAUAUGCAUGGAGCAGCAAUUGGUACUGCCUGAUCCUCCCAGUGUAGCCAAUCUGCCGCAGCUUAUGGAACACUCUCUCUGAGUUGUGGACGUCUCCUUUCUUCGAGUAACAGUCAAGCAGCAUCAGGUAUGAGCUGUACUGAGGCCUGAUCCUAUGCUUCUGAGAUAACUUGUGCAAUAGGGAAUCAGC